rnacentral:lncRNA from 10 species
GCUGGACUGCACAGAGCAGAGCUGCCAGAAGCUGAGGAGCGGACGCAGCAAUGAGAAACUCAGCCCAAUCAUGUGGCCGACUGCAGUCUGGAAGACUUCCUGGGUGUGGAGUUUCUCUGAGUUUCUCAGAAAGGCAGAGGGAAGAUUUUUGUCAGUAGAAGGCACAUGGAAAGUCAGUCAUGUUAGUGAUCUUUCCUCCUCUGGCAGCUCCAGAGCCAGCUCCAGUUCAAGCUCAAAAGCCACCUUCAGAGUGUGUGUCAGGGCUAGGUCCACCACCAGCUCCAGCUGCAGCCUUAACCAGCCGCUCUAGGGAAAUCUGCAGAGCUGGAAGCAAGAGCAGCAACCACCGUAGCACCAGCUCCCGAGCUCCUUUGCAAGCUCCAUCAACAGCUCCAGCUCCAGGGCUAAGGCAGUCCCAGCAAGAGCACCAGAUCCAGCCAUGCAGCCACUGCAGGCUCUGGCCCCAACUCCAGCUCCAGAGCCCAAGCCAGUUCCAGCUCCAGGUCUUGAGACAACAACAGAACCUGCUGCUGUUUUGUUAUAACCAUCCUGGAAACUCUGGACUCAAGAACCUUUCCC